GAAAAUUGAUAUUUUUAUUCAACUUCAAACUCAUAUACACAAUGAACUGAAGACUCCUUUAUUUAUAGAAGAAAGGAAGCAGCUGCGAGACUUUUCAGGAAGCAGCUGCGAUGCUUUUCUUGAACUGCUUGUAAGCUGUCUGCAUGAGCUGUUUGCAAUCUGCAUGUUUAAUAAGAAGUUGUUGCAAAUUAUUUCAUUGAGUUGUUUGCAACCUGUCUGCAUCAGUUGCUUGUAGAUAAACUUCAAUAGAGUACCAAACGGAUAAUCUUCUUCAGAAAAAUUAUCUAUAGCGGAGUAAUAAAUGGACAUCCACAUUAUAAUUAUUUUCAUAACAAACUUUAUUUUUUGGAACUAGAAUUCAGUUGCUGCCUUUUAAAACAAAGAUUUUUGAAGUGUUCUUGAAGCACUAGUCAAUUUAAAGUAUUAGAUUAGGCCAAAUACAUAUAUAGCCCCUUAAAGUUUGCUUCAUUUUUCAAUACUUUAACUAGGCCUAAUAGCUAUUGAACACUCUAACCACAAUAAAAGUGUACCUAUUGAACACAUCAUUUACAACAUGAGAAAAAAAAAAUGCUUGUGAUUCACACACUUGUGACAUGAAAAAUAAGUCAGUAAAAAAAUGACAUAUGGUUCUUAAUUUAAAAAAAGGCAUUUGAGCAUGAAAAAAAAAAUAACAACAACAAUCUAAUAUAAUUUCACUAAUAGGGUCUGAGAAGGAUAGUGUGUACGCAGACCUUACCUCUACCUGGGAUAGAGAGGCUAUUUCCGAUAGACCCUCAGCUCCCUCACUCCAAAAACUUCCACCUUUCUCUUGGGGUGACUCGAACUCACAACCUCUUGGUUGGAAGUGGAUGAUACUCACCACUAAAGCAACCCACUCUUGUCCAUCGAAAUAAAAAAAAAAAAAACUAAAAUAAUUCCAAUUCCCCUACUAAGUUUGUUUAUCGCUUUUUUUUGGGGGCAAUAAUUGGUGGAGUCUAUGUCGGAGGCCCGGUGGAGGAGGUCAGUGGAGGCAGUAGCGACGGUAAUUAUGAAGCUGUAGUGAACCCUAAUCUCUUUUUCCCUCAAUCCUUGAUUCCCUUCCUUGCUUUUCUCUUUUUUCCUUUUCUCCCACUUAACAACUAACACAGUUUAAAAAUUUGCGGAGCUCCGUGAGUGAUUCCAAGGGAGAAUUCAACUGGUAGUGGUGUUCCUUCUGGCAUAACAGAGUGCACUCUGAAAUUACACUGUCGUUAUCGUUGCCUUUACUUCCUGUGUUGUGCGGCGCACUUGAUGAGGACCUUCAGUUGUUCGACCAGCGGAGCAAUCAAGAUCGUUGAAUCAGAGUAACGUACUUGUCCGCGCUAGCAAAAUUGCUGAUCUGCUUUAUUGAAUUGAUUGAAUGACACGCUAGACAUGUUGUAGACCAUGGAUCUAAAGUCUUAAUUUUCAUAGAACAAUCGUGCUAAUGAUUGCAAUAUGCCCAUGAUUAAUUGUUGUUUUGAGCCCAUGGUAUUUAAAUACCUCAACAAAUGUAAAGGUAAUUUCACUUUUAAGUGUAAUUGAAGAUUAAAAAAGAGAAAUUAUAUGAGUUUAUCUUCAUCGUCACAUGGAACCAAGGUGGUGGUGGUGCCGCGUUGGAGGUAACGAAGGUAGUGGUGUCAAGAUAGAGGUGGUGGCAGCAAGAGAGAAGAAAAAUUAAAUAAAAAGAAAUUAGUUGCUUUAUUUUUUCUUUCACGCUCUAAAAAGAAUGUGUGAUGCACACACUAUGCCAUGUCAGCAAUAUGUGUUCAAUUGAUACACUUUUAUUGUAGUUGCAGUGUUCCAUAGGCAUUGUUCUGUCUAAAUGAAAUUUACUUUAAGGGGUCAUAUGUAUUUGGCCAUUAGAUUAUUAAUCUGGAGGAAUUGCCUAGUGAGAUUUUGACAUGAUAAGAAACAAACACUUUAGUUUUCAAUUCUGUAAUAUAACAUAUUGUGUUCGUUGAAAUCUUUGGAAG
rnacentral:lncRNA from 1 species